GAGUUUGAUCCUGGCUCAGAACGAACGCUGGCGGCGUGCCUAACACAUGCAAGUCGAACGUGAUCCAGAGCUUGCUCUGGUGAAAGUGGCGCACGGGUGAGUAACGCGUGGAUAACCUACCCUGGUAUCCGGGAUAACAUUCCGAAAGGGGUGCUAAUACCGGAUAAGCCCACGGGCUCUUUGGAGCUUGCGGGAAAAGGUGGCCUCUAUUUAUAAGCUACUGUAUCAGGAUGGGUCCGCGUACCAUUAGCUAGUUGGCGGUGUAACGGACCACCAAGGCGACGAUGGUUAGCUGGUCUGAGAGGAUGAUCAGCCACACUGGAACUGAGACACGGUCCAGACUCCUACGGGAGGCAGCAGUGGGGAAUUUUGCGCAAUGGGGGAAACCCUGACGCAGCAACGCCGCGUGAGUGAUGAAGGCCUUUGGGUCGUGAAGCUCUGUCAGAGGGGAAGAAAUGAUAUAGUGCUGAUACCACUUUAUCUUGACGGUACCCUCAAAGGAAGCACCGGCUAACUCCGUGCCAGCAGCCGCGGUAAUAC
rnacentral:rRNA from 1 species